rnacentral:rRNA from 1 species
UACGUAGGUGGCAAGCGUUAUCCGGAUUUAUUGGGCGUAAAGAGAACGCAGGCGGUCUUUUAAGUCUGAUGUGAAAGCCUUCGGCUUAACCGGAGUAGUGCAUUGGAAACUGGGAGACUUGAGUGCGGAAGAGGAGAGUGGAACUCCAUGUGUAGCGGUGAAAUGCGUAGAUAUAUGGAAGAACACCAGUGGCGAAAGCGGCUCUCUGGUCUGUAACUGACGCUGAGGUUCGAAAGCGUGGGUAGCAAACAGG